GGUAAUACGGAGGGUGCAAGCGUUGUCCGGAAUCAUUGGGUGUAAAGGGUGCGUAGGCGGGCGUCUAAGUCUGGGGUGAAAUCUUGCCGCUUAACGGUAAAAUUGCCUUGGAUACUGGGCGUCUUGAGUGUAGAAGAGGUAAGUGGAAUUCGUAGUGUAGCGGUGAAAUGCAUAGAUAUUACGAAGAACAUCAGUGGCGAAGGCGGCUUACUGGUCUACAACUGACGCUGAGGCACGAAAGC
rnacentral:rRNA from 1 species